ensembl:lncRNA
GUUAAAACUAACAACAACUCUGGAAAUUAUGUUGAAUAUUAGAGGAAACUCGGCCGAACCAUAUUUAAUUGCACCUGUGGAUCAUGUGACCAUCGAAUCAUGUGACCAUCGAUCCGCAAGAUGCAUCCGGGUCACGUGACCAAUCGGCAGGCGGCAGGGCCGUAAGGUAACGUCCUACUUCUGAGGGCGUGUCUCCAUGGAUGCCUGAAGGCAGCAGCAGAGUCUUCCUUACCUGCUAGAUCCCCGGAGACCCUCACACAGAGAGUACACACAGUCCCCCUGUCAGUGGUGACGGGGCGAACUGGCACCAAGCGAUCUGCACGCUGGAAUCUCAAUCUUCUACCCUCAGACAGAUAGACCAGUGGACUGUGUACGUAGACAUGGUCGGUUCACCUGAAAUCAAGCAUCAACAGAAAGAAUGAUACAUGUGUGACAAUGGCGGAACCAUCACUAAGGACCCUGGAACAAGAAUCCUCUACAUCGGAAAACGAAAAUGUUAUUCCUUCACCAGACGAUAAUGUGCAUCCAUUAUACAUGGAUCACUGGGAUGUGUUCCUCUUGCUCCUUCCCUGGCCUCCACGCCCACACGGCCUGCUGUGUCUUCUGACAGUUCCCUCUCCAGGUCCCCGUGCUGGUCUCUCCCCCUGGGGGUCGGGGGGAAACUGCCUCUUUCUGUGUCCUUGCAGCCUCUUGCUGUUAUCCACGGCCUCUCCCGUUGCUCUGUUGAAGCCCCCCCCCAUCCCGGCCUGUGUCUGGGAGUGACCUUCUCCCAGCCUGGAGCGAUGUGUGAUCAGACCACCGCUCACACCCCUCACUCUUAGUAAUAAUAAUACCCCCGCUUCAAAUGGGAGUGACACACAAACCAGGGUCCAAAUGGGUUGGGCGACCUCCAUUUCUUAAAAAUGUUGAAACCUCUUCCCAAAACAUUGAGGUUUAUUGUUCGACCAGCAAUACAAAGUAAGUCGUAUGAUUAAGCGAGAGCGCCUCUUAUAACGUCUGUUUCCCAUUCGCCCUGAGCUGCUACGCUCUCUUCUGCCACAGAGUGGAAGCAGUCGUCUGGAGCAGGAAUGCCUCAUUCUUGUUUCAUGCAUA